rnacentral:rRNA from 1 species
AGAGUUUGAUCCUGGCUCAGAUUGAACGCUGGCGGCAUGCCUAACACAUGCAAGUCGAACGGAAACGAUGGGAGCUUGCUCCCAGGCGUCGAGUGGCGGACGGGUGAGUAAUACUUAGGAAUCUACCCAGUAGCGGGGGACAACUCGAGGAAACUCGAGCUAAUACCGCAUACGCCCUACGGGGGAAAGCAGGGGAUCUUCGGACCUUGCACUAUUGGAUGAGCCUAAGUCGGAUUAGCUUGUUGGUGAGGUAAAGGCUCACCAAGGCGACGAUCCGUAGCUGGUCUGAGAGGACGAUCAGCCACACUGGGACUGAGACACGGCCCAGACUCCUACGGGAGGCAGCAGUGGGGAAUAUUGGACAAUGGGGGCAACCCUGAUCCAGCAAUGCCGCGUGUGUGAAGAAGGCCUGCGGGUUGUAAAGCACUUUCAGUAGAGAAGAAAAGCCCACGGCUAAUACCCGUGAGUCUUGACGUUACCUACAGAAGAAGCUCCGGCUAACUCCGUGCCAGCAGCCGCGGUAAUACGGAGGGAGCGAGCGUUAAUCGGAAUUACUGGGCGUAAAGCGCGCGUAGGCGGCUUUGUAAGUCGGAUGUGAAAGCCCUGGGCUCAACCUGGGAAUGGCAUUCGAAACUGCGUAGCUAGAGUUUGGUAGAGGUAAGUGGAAUUCCAGGUGUAGCGGUGAAAUGCGUAGAUAUC